rnacentral:misc_RNA from 1 species
CGCAUCAACACGAUUAUCAAAAGCAUUGUGUAUUUUCUUGAUUGCAACUUUCUCGUUGGUUUCCCUAUUCACCGAGGAGCACACAAUUCCAUAAGCUCCUCGGCCAAUUGGCUUGAUGGGCACAUAUUUUGUGUCAAUCUCAAACAAAGUUUGCCACAUAGAAUAGUAAUGCUUCCCCUGAAUUCUAACUCCAUUUGGAGGCUCAACCGGAGUCGCCAUUUCUUUUGAUCUUGUGAAGAUCUUCCUUAUACAAAUAAACCAACUUUACAAUCCGCUACCCACAGCAGAACUCAUCCCAAAUUCAGCUGAAAAUUCUCUGGAAAAAAAUCAAAGUUCCUCGAAUUCCCAACAAACAAAGCCAUUAUUUUCCCGAAAUUACCCUCAAACCUAGUUCAAUUGGCCCAUUUCAUCUCUGGAACUCAUCCAGCAUCAAGCCUUGUUCAAUUUGGCGCCAGAGAAGCAUAAAUUAUCGGUCUCUGUGAAGCAAAAAGGUUAGAGGCUUGGUGUUCGAUCUGUUGUGGUGAAGAGUUUGUCAACGCCCAACGGUGACUUCUAUGAAAUUUCGCAGCGAUCAAGAUCCGUU